AGUGAGAAAGCAUCUAUGCUUGUCUACUGACACCAUUGUGCUGUCAUGGGAGGGAGUCAGCAGAUAGACCACGCCCACCCAUUCCACUUUGUCACUCAUCUGGUGGUCACUAAAGGACACCAUUCAGGUUGAUGUGGUGUGCUGAUGAACAGUUGACCGAUGGAGCAGGAAAUUCAUUAAGGCUGUAAAGAGAUGGAUUUUUUCCACCAUGCAGCACCACUGGCAGAACCAGUUGUGACACCGCUCCCUGUUUUUUCCCCGGUUUGGUAGAUGAUAAAGUGGGGCGUCUGCUGUCCACAACCUUUUCUGAUAGUUCUCACAAGACAUACGCUUCUGGCUGCAUGUCCUUGUGCAGCACAACCCUGACGGAAGAGCGGAAUGCGCAUCGUGGAGACAAACUUGAGUUUCUUCUGUAUCUGCCCCAGUAACUGGAUCGGAAGAACCUGUACAUAAGAGGAGCUACUGUCAGCACGUGGCAUGAUCUGUAUCGUUCAUGGGCACAUGGGUGGCUGGGUAGACCAGCCACUGAGUACCUGGAAGCCAUAUGGGCAAUGCUGACGUGGAAACUCUUGCAGGUUAUCACUACAAAGAAACUCACCCACGACUGUACCUUUCACAGCAUGCAUUGGACUUCAUGGGCGAAUGAUUGCACCGUCUCUUCCAGGGCAGGUCCUUGAAGGAACUGAUCAUCAGUUACAUUAUUGGUGAAGUCCACUUUUCACUUAUAAUGGAGCACCCAACGAUACGUCCGAAAAGUGACAAGUGUUACCUAUGACUUAUGCAGUAGUAAAGAGCCUACAUUUGGCUCACGCAGAGAGGGUUUCUUGAAUAUUCAAAUCCAGUAACAAUCAAAGCACAGUGGCCACAUAAUUAUGCGUGUCCUUUUCCCCCCAAUUUUUUGUUCACUUCUUCUUUGAUUGUGGGAGAUUAGGCUGGUUCCGGAUGUAUGCGUAGUUGUCAAGGAUGUUGUCAAGACACCAACUUUGCCUGUUACUCCUGGUUGAUACAACACUUAUCUUUGGGAAUCGUCAGGUUACCUGAAGCCUGCCCUGGGAAUGCAACCCAGCAGCCUAAUCAGUGUGAUGGCGCUUCCGAUGUGGAGGGUGCUGAUAUGGGGUGCUUGCUAUUGCUUAAGUCUUGCAAUUUUGUUCACAUUUAUCUUCCUUAACAUCCGUUAAAAAAAUGAUUAAAGGUCUUUCACACAAGCACUGAAAAUACGGGUCCUGUGUGGUUAAAUUGCUUCAAAAUGCAUGGAUAUUGUGUCUCUUGAAAGUGCAUCCCUGUCUCAAAAUCACACAGGUCCAGCCUGUUUUCUGCAUGGAUCGAGACCUCAUUUAUAAUCAUCAGUGCAUUACCCAUGCAAGUAUCACUCGGUAAAGCAUGCCAUUAUCCUGAGGAUACUUUGUGUUGACGUCCAUUUUGCUGUUGCCAUCGUGCAGAAUAGCAGUUCCCAAAAAUAUACCUCAGUCAUAGCCUUGCUGCCAUCUGGUUCUACACACGUAUUACUAUUGUCACUAUUGUGUUUCCAUAUUUUGCAGGGGUCGAAACGAGACUUGUGAAGUUGGAGCCUUUCCCUUACAACAAUUAUCCUCUGGAGUUACAAAUGAAAAAAAUGAUGAAUUAGUGUGUACAGUGAAAUUUCUGACUUUCUCUUUUGAAAGAUUUUUGUAGAGCCACAAUCAUUGAUUUUUGCACAAAUUAAUGUUCUUGCAUAAAAAAAGCAUGUGUAUGGGUGGGAAAAUUGCUGUUACCCUCCAUUUCCGUCAUAUUGCUAUAUCAGCGAUACAGGUGAAAAUGUGGCAAAACCAGGAAUGUUUACCAACGUACGUGUGAAAGCCUUUGAUGAAAUUGCAGGUAUCCUUUGCAUUGAUCAGACACCAUGCACCAACCUUUGCAGGUGUGAAUUUCCUGUGGUUGUGCCAAAGAGCCCUCAAUCGCUUUCACAUUUUCCCAAUGCAUAUGUCGUCACCAUUCUCAGGAAGUGACACUAAUGUCCAAAAAUGAAUUUUUAUCGAUUUCCACUUUUUCAAUAUUCUCUUUUACAAUAUCGUGCUUGACCAUUUUGACAUGCUCCCACAAACAAAACAUUAUUGAUGUCAUAGUUACGUUAAUGUUUUUGGGGUUAAGCCUUUUGCAGUUCCACAAAAAGACGUAAUGCUUAACGUCCUUUGAACAUGUACAAAAUGUAUUGCAAGGAAAUGGUUGAAAAGUAGGUCAACCGGGAUGUUCGUUUUCACAAAGUGACGUAAAUUCACAGUUGUGCGCGCGUAAAGAUACGAUCACCUUCCCUGUGAUUAUUAUACAUUGAACAGAAGGACGUUUAUGUACAAAGACGUCAAUUUUGUUUUCACAAAGUGACGCUAACCUUUGCUAAUUAAUUUUGGCUAAUUAACCCUUGUUUUCAUACUCGGGUCAAGUGAACGAUUACACAUCAGAGAAUCAUUUAAGGGAUUUUUGUUACAUGAAGUUGUCACAAAAUACUUAUUUUGGUAGUUUUUAUAAAGCUCCGGUGAUCAUCUUGAAAACCUGUCCUCAAAAGCCACAUUAGCAACACUUCGUGGUGGCGGUGACAAUUUGUGCAUUAUAUUUGAAAGAAAGAAAUGAGAAAGUGGUUCUUUGUCAUACACUUCUCUUAAUUACAAAUUUGUGUUUUGGUCAGUUUCAUUUGUAUUUAUGAUGUCUAACAUUAUAUCUUUAGGGUGUAUCAAAAAUACAAAAUAGAAAUACAUGAUGUGAUAGAUUGGUACACUGAACUUCUGAAGCUGGACUCUCCAAGUAUGGUUGCAUCCAAAAGCGUUUGAGUUUUCAAUUGAUACUGUAAUUGCAUCUCUGUAAUCGGAUAAAUAAAAACUUUAGCUUGUUAUAAUGAUAAGUAAACACCUGUUUCCAGUGUGGAUUAAAUGUAUCCCAGUCAAAAGCACCUAAAAUGUUCCCUCAGUUGGUGCUGUGCCUAAGCUCAAGCAACUUGUACAACUGGGCUACGGUGUCUUGAGACGUCUGUGCUGGUUACAGGACAGAGCCUCAGGUCAUUGUCUUAUUGCAGUCCAAAGAAGGUAGAGUGAUUUCCCCUCAAUGAUGCAGUGGAAUGGCCUCCUGGGUCAUCUGGUCUUAGACCCAGUGAUUAUUUUCCUUUAUUUAUGUAUACGAACAUCAUGAUGUUGUUGUGUUGUGAUUCCGUAUUCUAAAUAAAAAUCAAGGUCAUGUGCAACAACCUAGCAGUGGUGUGACAAGCAGUCCAAGAAAUGCACCACUGCUGUGAAAUUUAUUGUAAAUAGGGAACAUAGACAUGUUGGUGAAUGUAGAGGUGAGUCAUUAUCCUUUUUUUUCUGAAUAAAUAGUUAAUUCCAAAGAAAGCUUGUUAAUUUUAUUCGCAAAUCCAGUGCCAGAAUGUGUAGAAAGCUCAGAGGACCAUCAGCCCAAUUUGAGAAAAGGACGGUUUUAUGUAUUGAUCUGUAAAACAAUGUUGCUUAAUCCUCCAUAAUGGCAGAGAUGCAAGUCAGGCAUCAACAGCAAACUUCUAAACUAACGGUAUUCUUUCAGAUGCAACCAUACAGUGUUUAGCAUCAUACUUUUGAUGUACUAAUGUGUUGUAGUAGUGGAUUGGAUUUAUUUUUACAUACAUUCUGUCUAAUGAUUUUUUAAACUAACUGGUGAUGGGUCUUUCCUUAUUUUAAGCAGCACACAGUUUCAUUAGGAGUACACGUAACUAACUAAAGUUGUGAAACCUUUAUUUCGAUACACAGUAUUAUUUUGGGCAAAAAAAUGGUGAAGGAGUUUAUUUACCAGCACCAAAUGCACGUUCUGUUAACAUCUAGCUGCAUGUAUAUUUUGUGUACAUCUUCAGAAGGUAUGCACAAGAAGGAGCUGGAAACGUAAACUUUGGGUGUGGACAGAUUUGGGGCACACCUUUGUUUGAAAGGGGGACAGUUAAUUUUUUUUUUUGGGGGGGAGGGGUGGACCCAUAAAUUUUAAUUUUUUGUCACGCAAUGUUUAAUGGCCUUUCUAAAAUAUACUAUUAGAAGGAAGGAAAAUAAAACGGACCCCCAAUGUUUUUCUCUCAAUUAAUAAAAUGCCUCUUUUUCCUCCGCCCUCACCUUUGGUAGGUCUAUAAUAAGGCUAAAAUAGUUGUUUUAUUUUCUGUCUUUUUUAUUUCAUUGACUUGCCCUUGACCCACACCAGCAACAUAUUUCGUGAAGAAUAUGUCAAUAAAAGGUAUUCUAACUGUAGUCUCUGUCA